CCAGCCGGCUGCGAGCGGAGGCUGGGCGGAGCCACAGCGCCAGGUUCCCGGGGGAAAGCGGGGCUGCAGCCCCGGCGGCCCGAGCAGAAGCGAGCCCGCUCCGAGUGCCACGUCUCCAGGAACCCCCCUCCUUACUCUUGGACGACACUCCGCCUCCGCCCCGGACUCCGUCCCCCAAACCACCCCAUGAGUGCUGGAGAGCCUUUAGAUACAUCUUUAGGGAUCCGGCCCACUCAGCCGUCAGCUCCCACGCUCCCCCAGCCGGUGGAGUCCCACCCCGGGCCUGCACCCCAAGAGCGCAGCCUGUGCCCUAAAAUCCGCCUGCGGGUCUAAGAGGCGCUGGCCUAGCUCCUUCCGGUCGCCCGGCAGGAGAGACCGGGCUUCUAGGUUCCAAACGCGAGGAGAGACUUUGCUCUGGCUCUCCGUCGCCCCCACCCCCCACCCCUUGCUCGGGGUCUGAGCCUCGGAUGAGGGGGGCAGGUCUGGCUCCCCAGCUGCCCGGGAGGGGGCGGCGGCCGGCGCAGCACGUAGCGCACGUGUCGGUCCCGCUCCCCACCCCCUCCGCGCCGCUGUCGCCUCGACGGGGCUCCGGGGUUGUCCGUGCCCCUCCCUUCCGCCCCGGCCUCACUUCGGGUCUCCCACCACCCGUCCCCCUCUCCGGCUUUCCCAAAUAUCCGCGAUGCACCAUCUCAGUUUCUCAUCUCCAGUCUAGUGCCAACAUCUGAACUCAGCACCUUUCAUGCUCUGAAAAAUUUGGUGUCAGGUGUCCCUCGGGGGCAACCAUGGGAUGUCCCCCAGCUUUACUUCUUUUGAGUCUUUACACGACGUCCUGUUGCUAGUCUUUAUUGCUGGGUUUUAGCUAGACCACAGUUUCCCACCGGGGUCCCUGCUACCUCCUCAGCACGUGCCCCACCCCUUGGUAAGCCGCUGGAGGGAAGGAGUCAAGUCAGUACCAGGCAUGUGGGAGUUGCUCCACAAAUAUUUGUUGAAAGGGAGGGGAAAUGGCCUUGAGUUUAUGCGGCUCCAAUUGGCUGAGGAUGAAGCUUUGGACUGGACGUGGAGAAGAAUCUGCUUGUGCCCAGGAAGGAGCCUCACAAUAACUCAGUGGUGGAGUGUUGAGACAGCCCACGCAGUGGGUGAAUACAGGUCUUGCUGUGCAGCUCAGAAUGGCUUCCGAUUCACAAUAUAGCCCAGACCGACCACAAAUUCACGGCAAUCCUGCUGCUUCAGUCUCCCAUAGUUCUGGGCCAAAGGACAAUCUUGUGCUCCUGGAAGUUUGGGAGGAAAAUCACAUUCCUUGUUCAGCCACCAGCAACUCUGAACUCAGGUCUCGGGCUGCGAGACUCCUCUCAACAUGCCCUGUUCCUCAGAUAGCUCAAAUAUUUGGAAUUCUCUGUAUCUGGGAUGUAACAUGCUGGAACUUUCUAGAGCACCACCGCAUCUACCAUAUCUGCUUGAAAUUCCCGAUCCAACUAAGUCACAUGAUGUGUCUAGCAAAGCACAACUCCCUACAUGUAAAAGGAGGGGUUUUUUUUUUCACAUUUUUCUUCCCUGGCAUGAACGAUUGAUGUG